AGCGAACGCUGGCGGCAGGCUUAACACAUGCAAGUCGAGCGGGCACUUUCGGGUGUCAGCGGCGGACGGGUGGGUAACGCGUGGGAACGUGCCCUCUGGUUCGGAAUAACUCAGGGAAACUUGAGCUAAUACCGGAUACGCCCUUUUGGGGAAAGGCUUGCUGCCGGAGGAUCGGCCCGCGUCUGAUUAGCUAGUUGGUGAGGUAACGGCUCACCAAGGCGACGAUCAGUAGCUGGUCUGAGAGGAUGAUCAGCCACACUGGGACUGGGACACGGCCCAGACUCCUACGGGAGGCAGCAGUGGGGAAUAUUGGACAAUGGGCGCAAGCCUGAUCCAGCCAUGCCGCGUGAGUGAUGAAGGCCUUAGGGUUGUAAAGCUCUUUUAUCCGGGACGAUAAUGACGGUACCGGAGGAAUAAGCCCCGGCUAACUUCGUG
rnacentral:rRNA from 1 species